rnacentral:rRNA from 1 species
UACGGAGGGAGCUAGCGUUGUUCGGAAUUACUGGGCCUAAAGCGCGCGUAGGCGGCCUUGUAAGUUAGAGGUGAAAGCCCGGAGCUCAACUCCGGAACUGCCUUUAAAACUGCAUAGCUUGAAUCCGGGAGAGGUGAGUGGAAUUCCGAGUGUAGAGGUGAAAUUCGUAGAUAUUCGGAAGAACACCAGUGGCGAAGGCGGCUCACUGGACCGGUAUUGACGCUGAGGUGCGAAAGCGUGGGGAGCAAACAGG